UGUUGUGUUUUUUUUAUUUGGAUGGUCCAGAGUUUUGUGAGUAAAAGAAGUGAGAAAAUCAGCAAGUUGUAGAAAAAAUAUAAUUUCCAGUGAUUAGUGAGUGUGAGUGAAGACAUUCGUGCAGUAAAACGUGUGAAAAAUGAAGUGCACGGUCGUGAAUUGCUUCAACUCUAAGCACCGAAAUCCCAAUGGGGUGACCUUCCACAGAUUUCCAAGUAACUUGCAAGUUCGGGAAAUUUGGGCUACACGUCUAGAGCUCUCUAUGUCCCUUGUAGGGAAGGAUAAGUAUGUGUGCAGCAUGCACUUCAGGCCAGAAGAUAUCAAACAGAAAAAUACUUCUAAAACUCAGCGCUUCAAAUAUGUGCAUUUUUUUGGAUCCAACUGCUCUUCCGAUUGACUUAAGGCAGACACAAGCAGAUUCUGGUGUUCAUCUUGAUGACAAUACACAGCUUGGGAGUCAUAGUUCGAAAAUCUACGCUACAAUGGUAGAACUCCAAAAGUCAUCCGUCAGCGACUACAGUGCCAUGGACGAUGAUUGCGACGAAGUCGAGUGGAUUGAAUUCGAAGAUGACAUAUCGGAGCCAUGCAAUACGGACAGUGAUUCGAUAAUUAUACAACCUCAGAAGGAGCAUUUCCACCGUUUAGCUCUGGAGGUUGGUCAGCAACGCUAAGACGGCGGUGGCCGCAAAUAUUGCUUUCUGAUUAACUUUUCUUUAUGUCUGCUUUCAAGAGCACUUGCUCAAAACAUGUAUUGAUAUUCAAAAUUAAAAAAAACUUAAAUCAUACAACAAAAUGCAGCAAGAUUUCUGUAAAAAAGAAUUGAAUAUGCAAGUCUUAUUGAAAAAUCUGAUCUGUAACAA